AUAUUGUAGCUUGCUAUGGUAUAACUUAGUGGCAGACGGGUGAGUAAUGUAUAGGAAUCUACCUAGUAGUACGGAAUAAUUGUUGGAAACGGCAACUAAUACCGUAUACGCCCUACGGGGGAAAAUUUAUUGCUAUUAGAUGAGCCUAUAUUAGAUUAGCUAGUUGGUGGAGUAAUAGCCUACCAAGGCAAUGAUCUAUAGCUGAUCUGAGAGGAUGAUCAGCCACACUGGAACUGAGAUACGGUCCAGACUCCUACGGGAGGCAGCAGUGGGGAAUAUUGGACAAUGGGCGAAAGCCUGAUCCAGCCAUGCCGCAUGAGUGAAGAAGGCCUUUGGGUUGUAAAGCUCUUUUAGUGAGGAAGAUAAUGACGGUACUCACAGAAGAAGUCCUGGCUAACUCCGUGCCAGCAGCCGCGGUAAUACGGAGAGGGCUAGCGUUAUUCGGAAUUAUUGGGCGUAAAGGGCGCGUAGGCUGGUUAAUAAGUUAAAAGUGAAAUCCCGAGGCUUAACCUUGGAAUUGCUUUUAAAACUAUUAAUCUAGAGAUUGAAAGAGGAUAGAGGAAUUCCUGAUGUAGAGGUAAAAUUCGUAAAUAUUAGGAGGAACACCAGUGGCGAAGGCGUCUAUCUGGUUCAAAUCUGACGCUGAAGCGCGAAGGCGUGGGGAGCAAACAGGAUUAGAUACCCUGGUAGUCCACGCUGUAAACGAUGAAUGUUAAAUAUGGGAAGUUUACUUUCUGUAUUACAGCUAACGCGUUAAACAUUCCGCCUGGGGACUACGGUCGCAAGAUUAAAACUCAAAGGAAUUGACGGGG
rnacentral:rRNA from 1 species